GAGGUAGUGCAGAAAGCUGGUGCAGUAGGACCACUUUGCUGAGGGUACACCUGGGUGACGACCACAAAUCCACUAGCUGCUGAGCUGGCCAUUUUACAAGUAGUGCCCUCUGUGGGAAGAGCCUAGAAAUGUUUAAGAUGUAAGCUUCUUACUGUUAAAAUGAUCACGAAACCUCGCAGUAGGCUAAACAGGAGCCAUAGACCCUCCUCUUCCAGGAAAACGUUUCAGAUCACCCCCAUAGCUCACGUAAUAAUUUCACAUUUAUUAUCGGUGGCCUUGAUAUGUAGUGCAAGUUGAGUUUCCGUUGGGGACCGCGAACUGUACAUACUGUUCCAAAGAGAACACGCCUCUUCAACAAAUCUAUUGUAAUGGUUAUCUGGACCCAUCAUUAAACAGACCGAUGCAGUACUCUGCUGAACAAGGCAGCCCAGAUUGUAAUGUAGAUCUCACCUCUGUAGAGCAGUCACACACUGCUCUGCAGGCGAAUGCUGAAACACAGAUGGAGAUGAUGAACUCCAGGAUGGAGAAAACCAGCAGCACUCCUGUCAUCCCAUAUGAGCUGGUCUGUGAAAAGAGAAAUGGAGAACAGAUCAGUGGCAGACAAUCAUUCAUUCCUACAUUUAGCUACAUUCUGCAGACUUGGACUUUGCAUAAUAAACACUUAAGACGUGUUAAAAUAUUUUCAGUAAGACUGUCAGGACAUCUUUGUUUCACAGGGGACGACAGCUCAGGAGGUAAGAGCGUUUGUCUGGCAGUCAGAGGGUUGCCGGUUCGGUCCCCCGCCCUGGGCGUGUCGAAGUGUCCCUGAGCAAGACACCUAACCCCUAAUUGCUUCCAACGAGCUGAUUGGUACCUUGCAUUGCAGCCUUUCACCGUUGGUGUGUGUGUGUGAAUGAGAGGCAUCAAUUGUAAGUGCAUUGGAUAAAAGCGCUAUAUAAAUGCAGUCCAUUUACCAUUUACUUACAGAGCCCAUGUGGUCACCAGUGAGUUUAGCUACAAGUCAGAAAGAUUCCCUCCUAGUCUGAGUCAUAAUCAUAUAUUACAUUAGCUUGUUGGAAGUCCAGACUAUUUAGAUAUGCAUACUUGGAUCAUGUU